rnacentral:lncRNA from 1 species
AUCAAUCAAUAUAUAUCUGGAAUCAUAUAUUCAUCCUUGCACUACAGGCCAAGGACAUUCACCAGUUGGUCAUGUUCAUCUAAACACCUGUUCAUCUUUGCACUACGGGCCAAAGAUAUUCAUCAGAAAUCAUUCAUCUUUGCACUACAGGCCAAAGAUAUUCAAUAAUAUCAUCAUUUAAGACUGAGGAUGAUGAAAAAUUUUUUUUUUUUAAAGAAACGAAUCCAGUGAAACAAAAUGACAAGGAUUAAGGAUUAAGGAUUCGUACUUUGUUUUAUCCACGUCCAAAAAUACCUCAAAAAUAAUCAUAGUGGUGUAAAAUUCAAGAAUGAUCAAAACAUGGAUACAAUCAAAACUAGUAUCCACAAUAGAUAUUUUGGACGAAAAGGAAAAUUUUCAUUUUUCGAUGAAUAGUGC